GACGAACGCUGGCGGCGUGCUUAACACAUGCAAGUCGAACGGGUCUGCCCUGUUUUUUGCGGGGUGGGUCAGUGGCGAACGGGUGAGUAACACGUGAGUAACCUGCCCCUCACUUCUGGAUAACCGCUUGAAAGGGUGGCUAAUACGGGGUGUUCUGGCUGUGCCGCAUGGUGUGGCUGGGAAAGAUUCACUUUUGUGGUGUUUUGGUGGGGGAUGGGCUCGCGGCCUAUCAGCUUGUUGGUGGGGUGAUGGCCUGCCAAGGCUUUGACGGGUAGCCGGCCUGGGGGGGUGGGCGGUCACACUGGGACUGGGGUUCCGGCCAGACUCCUGCGGGGGGGAGCAGGGGGGGGGAUUGCACAAUGGGCGGAAGGCUGAAGGAGCGACGGUGCGUGAGGGAUGGAGGCCUUCGGGUUGUGAACCUCUUUCGCCGGUGAAGAAGGUCCUGCUCUUUGUGGUGGGGUUGACGGUAGCCGGGUUAUGAAGCGCCGGCUAACUACGUG
rnacentral:rRNA from 1 species